rnacentral:lncRNA from 1 species
UUUUAUUUAAAUCACAAAUUCACAAAUUAUUUCAUUAACAUCUUACAAAAUCUCUCAAUUUUCAAUCUCUCAUAAAUUCAUAAUUAUUAUUUUGUGAUAUUGACUUGGAGUUCGGAUUUUGGAGAUUUAUUUGAAGUAAAUCGGAAGCUUCAAUUGGCAUCUCUCAAUUCCGGCUUUGGUUAUACGUCUACUUUUACGUAGAC